UGGGGAAUAUUGGACAAUGGGGCAAAGCCUGAUCCAGCAAUACCGCGUGUGUGAAGAAGUCUUGUGGGUUGUAAAGCACUUUCUAUGGGGAGGAAUACCUAGCGGUUAAUAUCCGCUAGAUUGACAUUACCUUUAGAAGAAGCACCGGCUAACUCCGUGCCAGCAGCCGCGGUAAUACGGAGGGUGCGAGCGUUAAUCGGAAUUACUGGGCGUAAAGAGUACGUAGGCGGUUGUUUAAGUUAGAUGUGAAAUCCCCGGGCUUAACCUGGGAACGGCAUUUAAAACUGGACGACUAGAGUUUAGGAGAGGAGAGUGGAAUUUCAGGUGUAGCGGUGAAAUGCGUAGAGAUCUGAAGGAACACCAGUGGCGAAGGCGGCUCUCUGGACUAAAACUGACGCUGAGGUACGAAAGCCUGGGUAGCAAACAGGAUUAGAUACCCUGGUAGUCCAUGCAGUAAACGAUGCGCACUAGGUGCAGCGGGAGUCGACCCCCGCUGUGCCGUAGUUAACACAUUAAGUGCCCCGCCUGGGGAGUACGGUCGCAAGGCUG
rnacentral:rRNA from 1 species